ensembl:snRNA U6 U6 spliceosomal RNA
GUGCUUGUUGGGCAGCACAUAUAUGUACUAAAAUUGGAAUGAUCCAGGGAUUAGCAUGGUCCCUGUGCAAGGAUGAAAUGCAAAUUCGUGAAGCGCCCUGUGUUUUU